AAAUAAGAAAAAGAACUAAUUACACAACUCCUUUAUUGCUACAGUUGCCACAGUAAAAUGUGGUAAGCUGUAAAACAGGAGGCAUACUCUCUUACGGUUUUUGAGGGAAAAGGUUGAUCAUAAAAAAGGUAUAAAAACUGAAUAGGACUUUACUUAAAAUUGCUGUUCCCAGCCACUGAGAGCCAUUAUUGCAGUAAGAAUAUAAACUGUGAAAACAAAAACUGCUGAGCUCCCUCAUUGGAGAGCGUAGAGAAGGCUAUGGGGGAAGCCUCCAGGCUGAAUGCAGGUGAAGGUGACCUUGGGGAGGAGGUAGCCUGCAACAUGGAGGCUUUGGGCCAGCAGCAGUGACAUAGCAGGGAAGAGACUGGGAUCAGGUAAGAAGGCUGGGUUGGAAGGUGAAGGACAGAGCUGGAUGGCAAAGAAGCCAGGCAGGAGGAAUUUGGCGCAUAUGUACUAAGAGAUACUGAGUGGCUUCCUGGGUUUGUAAAGUGCUUGAGGAAGAGAAGACAAAUAAGCAACAGCCCAAUAAGAUGAUCUAAAAUAUAGAAGGGUGGAGAGGAAGAAGGGGGUUCUUCUCAUUGUAACUGCCUAAGAGCCUGGAGAGCACAGAAUAAAAUCUACUGACAACUUCAAAAGAGAGGCUCUCCUUUGAAAAGGUGGUCUUUCAAACCACAACCACAGAUGGACCUUAUGAGUUCUUCAGUCAUCAUCUGCGACGACGGAUCUUGGUCUGGAGCUGUGAGCUGCUUUUCGUAGCCUCAUGGAGCAGUGCCCAGCAAGCAGCCAUCUCCAUGUGGGCUGCUGCUGCUGCCUGUCAGUUGAUGCCGGGUGCUGAUGGAAGGUGAGAGCUGGAAUGCUCGGAUGGAGGCUGCUGCAGGGUAGUCACCAGGUUUGGCUCCUUGUUUGUGCUAUUCUGUUGCCGCACAGAGAAAUGCUUCUGUCACUGCCACCAUGAGGGUUCCCUUCUCCAGUGCCGUCUGUCAACGCUGACAAUAUUUACUUGACCUCAGGUGCAGACGGUGGCCCAUUCCAUGUCUGAGUUACCUGUCCUGCCACCAGCACGUGUCUCGCUCUCUUCCAUGCCUGCAUUUGUGUCCUGUCUUCAACCCUGACACUAAAAGGCUCUCCGUGCAGCACUUGUGGGAGCUGUACUACCCAGAUGAUCCCUAAGAUCCAUUCCAACCCAAGCCAUCCCAUACAUCUCACAGCCACUGCAGGCAUCACCCCUUGCUGCUCUCUUGUCCUCUCUUGGUCUUCCUUUCAUUACUGCUGAGCGCAGUGCAAGGAGCUGGCAGCACCAUGCUAAGAUGCUAUGGUUACUUCUUGUGGAAUAGUUCUUUAAAUUGACAGGAAAAUUUGUUUUCCUUUGAGUUUUUUUUUUUUCCUCCAGUGACUUAAAAAUGCCAAUUUUAUCCACGGAUCCAUCGUUCUCAUUUGAUCAACUGUGGCAGCAGGAUGGAGGAAUUUGAUUAAAUUCCCAGACAUGGAGCAUAAACUUCCUACAAGUAGAUAUGUCACUGGUAGUGAGAGAACAGUUAUGACCUGUACAAAACGUGCUGGGGAUGCUUCUUAUUUUGUGGAGACAGGCUUUGUCCCAGGUAGCCCCAAUGUGUUCCCAAGGUGCUGCCUCUAUACUUGAUAUCACCUGAAAUGCUUACGCUAUCUUCACUGCUCAGGAUUGCAGAGAUGAGCGAAGGCUUCUCCCCAGUAAUCUGGUUUGAAGAAAGAUGGACACAGUUGUGAAUCUUUCUUUACUUUUGUUUGGGCAUUUUUUCUCUUUAAUAUUCUACUUGAAACUGGCCUUAUUAACACCCUUAAUAUCACAACAGGUUGAUCACCUCUGCUUUUUAUCCAGUUAGAACAUUUCUGGAUUCCAGACCUCUCUGGAUUAGAAGCCAGUUUAGUUAGCACAUCUCUUCUAGCUUUUCUAUUUCAGUGACAUUCACUGAACACUUUUUUUUUUAAUUUCAAAGAUUAAUUUCCCAUUCCUAUCCUGACACCCUCUGUAUAGAAGUGCUAUAUGGAGUGGCAUAUUCUACAUGGUUCUCUGUUGAUUACAUUGUAUGAGGCAGACUAUCCUGGCCUUCGUGUAACAGCUCAAACACUACUGGAUGUUUUGGACUAGUUUCUGAUAGACUACAGACACAUACAUCAGCUUUGCCUACAUGGGCUUCUGUCACUGCUUGUACUGCACAGAAUAGACAUGCACAUAUAGAGCAAAUAGGCUGACGGGAUAUUAAAAUACUCCUGAUUGAAUGGUAAUUUCUAGACCUCCUCUAACUCAAUAGCUUGCAGCAAUCUCAGUUUUUCCUUCGUGUCAAGAGAAUGAUGCUUCCACCUGUUGCGGUAUUCUCUUUUUUCAUUUUCCAUAUCCCUGGGUCUUUCCAGCAGAUGGGUGCUGUUGUGGGCAUGAUCUGCCAGAGGUCCUGCCAUGUGAGCUUCAUGUCCACACAUUCGUGUCACACAGAGUAAAUAUCUCUGCCAGGCAUCUUGGUUUGUCCUCUUGAGGAAAUCAGUAUUAAUCCACUUGUGGGAUAGCUCCCAAAUGACAUUCUCAGCUGUCAACCUGGGAUGGGUAUGAAUUACUACUUAAAGAAUAGUAUGAAUAAUGUAAGAAGAAUAUUUGGAGACUGAGCUCUUUAUAGUGAUCUCUUUGGAGUGCUUGAGUCUAGAGACUUCACUUUAUUUCUUGGUAAUUCUUCAUUAAAACUUCAAGCUCUAAUGCUUUGACAGCAAAGUCUAGCUUUAUUAUUAGCUCUAUUGAUCAUUUUAAUGGACGUCUGAUCUACUUCACGAGGUGGCAGCUAUUUCAUAGAUGCACAAACACCAUGAUAAUAUAACUGCAUUAAUAUUGGGAUACUUUGGUGGAGUCAGCUCUGAAUCUUCUUUUUACUUGUUUUGCUUGUGCGUCUUGAUAGCUCUAUAAACCAAUUUUUCUAUUUUCCCCUUACGAUCACCAGUUCCCUACUUUUGUUGAAAUAAGUGGUUUCUGCAGACUACCCAAAAU